GACGUACGGAGGUACGGAGGUGUAGGAGUUCGUUCGGAGGACCGUCCGUCGAUGAGUGGCGGACGGGUGAGUAACGCGUGGGCAACCUGCCCUGUACAGGGGGACAACACUUAGAAAUAGGUGCUAAUACCGCAUAACGGGGGGAGCCGCAUGGCUUUCCCCUGAAAACUCCGGUGGUACAGGAUGGGCCCGCGUCUGAUUAGCUGGUUGGCAGGGUAACGGCCUACCAAGGCGACGAUCAGUAGCCGGCCUGAGAGGGCGGACGGCCACACUGGGACUGAGACACGGCCCAGACUCCUACGGGAGGCAGCAGUGGGGGAUAUUGCACAAUGGGGGGAACCCUGAUGCAGCGACGCCGCGUGGGUGAAGGAGCGUUUCGGCGCGUAAAGCCCUAUCGGCGGGGAAGAAGGAGGACGGUACCUGACUAAGAAGCCCCGGCUAACUACGUG
rnacentral:rRNA from 1 species